rnacentral:rRNA from 1 species
AGAACGAACGCUGGCGGCAUGCCUAAUACAUGCAAGUCGAACGAACACUUCGGUGUUAGUGGCGCACGGGUGCGUAACGCGUGGGAAUCUGCCCUUGGGUUCGGAAUAACAGUUGGAAACGACUGCUAAUACCGGAUGAUAUCGAAAGAUCAAAGAUUUAUCGCCCAGGGAUGGGCCCGCGUAGGAGUAGCUAGUUGGUGAGGUAAAGGCUCACCAAGGCGACGAUCCUUAGCUGGUCUGAGAGGAUGAUCAGCCACACUGGGACUGAGACACGGUCCAGACUCCUACGGGAGGCAGCAGUGGGGAAUAUGGACAAUGGGCGAAAGCCUGAUCUAGCCAUCGCGCGUGUGUGAAGAGGUCUUCGGAUUGAAGCAUUAGUUGGAGGAGGUAGUAACUAAUACGUU